GGAGGGGAGGGCUCAGUGGUAGAGUGCGUCCUUAGCAUGCACGAGGUCCUGGGUUCAAUCCCCAGUGCCUCCA
rfam:Camelus ferus unplaced genomic scaffold scaffold2113, whole genome shotgun sequence.